rnacentral:lncRNA from 1 species
ACGCGUCAUGUGGUGUAGAGGUUGGGUGAGAAAGGGACGUGUUUCAUUAUCAAGCAGGUACAAUACCCGCAAGGCUUAGAAGGUGAGGGUGAGAAAAAAAUUUGUAUAAAAGGAGAGAGAAAAGGAUACAGACAUCAGUUGGGUGAGCAUCACCGACACGGCAACAACUCCUGUGGACUGCCUGUACCAACUGGCUUCUUCAUCACAUUACCAGCUCGCAACAUUUGCCAGUUAUUACACCACCAAGGUUCCAGGGAAUACCAUCACAGCUUGUGAUUUCCAGAGCCACUACACCGAUGCCGUGAAUUGUAGAUUAUAGACAUCUUAUCCUUCAGUUGCUGCAAGCAACCCAUCCUCAUCAGCGACGUCAACCUGCAGAAGGAUAGGCCAGUUUGCUUCGAAGGUCACGAAAAUCAUUACGUAAAACGUGUCGUGUGGUGUAGAGGUUGGGUGAGAAAGGGAUCUGUUGCAUCUUUAUCAAGCAGGUACAAUACCCGCAAGGCUUAAGAGGUGAGGGUGAGAAAAAAAUUCGUAUAAAAGGAGAGAGAAAAGGAUACAGACAUCAGUUGGGUGAGCAUCACCGACACGGCAACAACUCCUGUGGACUGCCUGUACCAACUGGCUUCUUCAUCGCAUUACCAGCUCGCAACAAUUGUUCGCAGUUAUGGUCAACUAUGAUGUCGUGCUGCUGUCGGAUGUUGUAUCGUUGAUGGCUGGGUCGACCACUAGUUUGCCAAUGUCUUUUGGGCACGGACACCAAACCGCAAUGCCGGCGCCCUACUACACAACAACAGCAUACGCUUCAGCCGGUUAUUACACCAUCAAGGCUCCAGGGAACUACACCACAACUUAUGAUGUCCAGAGCUACUACACCGACGUCCUGAAUUAUAGUUAUCCUUCAGUUGCUGCAAGCAUGUUGUUCUGCUGCUGCUGGGUGUUGUAUUUAGCUGAUGGGCCAGGAUUCAGACCCAAAACCUAAAAGUAGAGAAGGAAGGUGAUAGAUCAGUUGAGUGAGCAUCUCCGAUCCGGCAACAGUUGCAGCUGCACUCUUCCAAUUCUCAAUUAUAGGGCUUUGUGCUGCUGUUGAAUGUUGUAUCGUUGCUGGCUGAGUCGACCACUGGUGUACCGAUGUUCCCUGGGUAUGGCGGAUACCAAGCCGCAACGCUGUUGUCUUACUACACAACAACAUAGGUGACGACCUGUUACUACACCGGGACUUCCAAUGACUACACCGAAAAGGCUGAAUAUUACACAAGGACGUAUGCUACUCCAGUUUACUACACCGAGGAACCUAAGCAUUACUUUGCUCCGAGCUACAACAGAGGCUCCUGUUAAGUACACCACCAACGCAUCUGAAUGUUAUAGAUAAUCUACGCUGCCCUCAACUACUACACUGAAGCUUCGAAGUGCUACACCAUCAAUAUACAAUCAAUAAGCAACGUGAUGUUUCCUGGGUAUGGCGGCUGGCGGGUAUUAAACCGCAACGCUUCUGUCUUAUUACUCAACAACAUACGUAACGAACUGUUACUACACCGGGACUUCCAACUACUACAACGAAACAGCAGAAUAUUACACAACUACGUGUACUACCCCAGUUUACUACACCGAGGAACCUAAGCUUUUUACAAGUUAAUAACUCUGCUCCGAGCUACUACCAUACACUCUCAACGCCCACGAGUGUUACAAUACAACCUACGCUGCCCCCAACUACUACAAUGAUGCUCCGAAAUAUUACACCAUCAAGGCACAACCAAUUCGCAAUCUUGGAUUACUAAGGUGUUGUGCUGCUGUUGGGUGUUGUAUUGUUGAUGGCUGGUCGACCACGAGUGUACCGAUGUCUCCUGGGUAUGGUGGUUUUCAAGCACUAGCAGCAAUAGAAGAGUACACCACAAUGCUGCCUUACUACUUAAAAACGAUAACGUAUGCAACACCUACUUACAACACUGAUGCUCGUAAAUACUGCACCUCCAAGGCUCCAAGAAUACUACACGAAUAUCUACGCUGCUCCGAGGUACUGCACGGAAGUAUCAGACCCCGACUAACAUCAACAAGACGUCUGAGUACUACACUGAGGAUCUUAAAUAGUACACCACCAAAGGUACUACACCGAGGCUGCAGUUUAUUAAACUACCAAAUCGGUCGAGUACCGAGUACCAAGUACUACCCCUUAACCAACAACAACUGCCAUAAUCGGAUGAAAUGUUCGCAAUCAUGGGAUGGCAUCGUUGGAAGCUGGGUAGAUUAUUGGUGUACUGAGGGUCCUGGAUAUGGCGUUGUAUCACCCACGGCAAAGUGCAUCACGUAAACUACAUCAAGAUUUUUAGGUACUACACCAUCAAGGCACCGGCACCGGAAUACUACACUACGCAAACUGCCCCUGCCUACUAAACCGUGGACCUUAAUUACAACAACAACCGGCGACAAUUGCACUCUUCCAAUUCUCAAUGAAAGUUAACUAUGGUUUCGUGCUGCUGUUAAGUGUUGUAUCGUUGAUGGUUGAGUGGACCACUGGUGUAUCGAUGUUGCCUGUGUAUGGCGGAUAUUAAACCGCAACACCACUGUCUUGCUACACAACAAAAUACGUAAAGACCAGUUGCUACUCUGGGCUUAUCUAUUGCUGAACCGAAAUGGCCGAAAAUUACACAUCCACGUAUGCUACCUCAGUUUACUACACCGAGGAAUUCAAGUGCUACUGUGCUCCGAGAAACGACAGAGCUGUUUACUACACCACCAACGCCACAGAAUGUUAAACUACAACCUACGCUGCCCACAACUUCACUGAAGCUCCGAAGUACUACACCAUCAAGGCACAACCAAUUCGCAAUCAAGGGUGAAUAUGCUUU